rnacentral:lncRNA from 1 species
AAUCCACAGCCCUAAACAAAGUUGUUUAGGGCCUCCGUAAGUUGCCGAAGCUGGCUUUGAACUUGUUCUGAGUCACUGAGAAAUUAUUAAAUCUUUUUGAGAAUUAGUUUCCACAUCUGUGCAAUGGAGGAGAAACAUUUCAUGAGUGACUAUAUAUAAAGUGUCCAAUAUAGUGACAGGCACAGAAUGAAGGCUUGAAAGAAUGUAGCUGUUCACACACUGACAUUCCCUUCCCCACUUCUACUGUCAUGUAGGGUGCAGUGAAGUUUCAUUUCUAUCUUGUUCCCAGAAGACACUGUAUAGACAGCUGGGGAACAGGUCUACAGGGGUAAAUGAAAUUCUGGGAGGUUAAAGGAAGGAGAAGAUGAGCAGAGAAGGAAGUGUGAAUGCUGGGACUGAGGAGGUAGUUUAGAGAUGGACAAGUGGGUAGUUCUCAAAUAUUUGGAGAGAAGAGUGUGAAGUACCAAGGAGAGGGAAGAGU